GAAGAUUCUACACACGAAGAAUUUGCUGUGAGUUUUCCUUUGGUGCUUCUCUUUCGAUGAAACGGCCGCCUCGUCCAACUUUCUUCCAAGCACACAGCACCAAGAAGUGGAGUACUUGAAUUCAAAUCGUUUCUAGAAGGAACAAAAUACUUAUAUCUGUGAGUAAAAUUCCUGUUGUGGCUCUUGGUCCACUUUACAAUAGAAAAGAUCAUGGAGAGAC